rnacentral:rRNA from 1 species
AGAGUUUGAUCCUGGCUCAGGAUAAACGCUGGCGGCGUGCCUAACACAUGCAAGUCGAACGCCCUUGAGUAAUCAAGGGAGUGGCGGACGGGUGAGUAACACGUGGAUAACCUGCCCUGCGGUGAGGAAUACCGGCGAGAAAUCGCCGACAAUACCGCAUAGGUUUCUCGAAAGAGAAACAAAGCUCGCGCAAGCGGGCGCCACAGGAGGGGUCCGCGUCCGAUUAGCUGGUUGGUGGGGUAAUGGCCUACCAAGGCUGCAAUCGGUAGCUGGUCUGAGAGGACGAUCAGCCACACUGGGAUUGAGAACGGCCCAGACUCCUACGGGGGGCAGCAGUGAGGAAUUUUCGUCAAUGGGGGCAACCCUGAACGAGCAACGCCGCGUGCAGGAUGACGGUCUUCGGAUUGUAAACUGCUUUUCUUGGGGACGAGCAAGGACGGUACCCAAGGAAUCAGCCCCGGCUAACUACGUGCCAGCAGCCGCGGUAAUACGUGGGGGGCAAGCGUUGUCCGGAGUUACUGGGCGUAAAGCGUCCGCAGGCGGUCAAUCAAGUUCGCGGUGACAGUCUCCAGCUCAACUGGAGAAGGCCCGUGAAGACUGGUUGACUUGAGGGCUUCAGAGGGACAUGGAAUUCCGGGUGGAGUGGUGAAAUGCGUAGAGAUCCGGAGGAACACCAAAGGCGCAGGCAGUGUCCUGGGAAGUACCUGACGCUCAGGGACGAAAGCUAGGGGAGCGAACGGGAUUAGAUACCCCGGUAGUCC